GUCGCACGAGAAAGGGUAGCAAUACCUGAGUAAAGUGGCGCACGGGUGAGUAACACGUGAAUUAUCUACCUCCGAGUGGGGAAUAACUGAGAGAAAUCUUAGCUAAUACCGCAUAACACUUACGAGUCAAAGCAGCAAUGCGCUUGGAGAGGAGUUCGCGGCCGAUUAGUUAGUUGGCGGGGUAAUGGCCCACCAAGACGAUGAUCGGUAUCCGGCCUGAGAGGGCGCACGGACACACUGGAACUGAAACACGGUCCAGACUCCUACGGGAGGCAGCAGUGGGGAAUUUUGCGCAAUGGGGGAAACCCUGACGCAGCAACGCCGCGUGGAGGAUGAAAUAUCUUGGUAUGUAAACUCCUUUCGAUGGGGAAGAUUAUGACGGUACCCAUAGAAGAAGCCCCGGCUAACUUCGUGCCAGCAGCCGCGGUAAUACGAGGGGGGCAAGCGUUGUUCGGAUUUAUUGGGCGUAAAGGGUGCGUAGGCGGUUUGGCAAGUCUUAUGUGAAAUCUUCGGGCUCAACCCGAAGCCUGCAUAAGAAACUGCCGGGCUUGAGUAUGGGAGAGGUGAGUGGAAUUUCCGGUGUAGCGGUGAAAUGCGUAGAUAUCGGAAGGAACACCUGUGGCGAAAGCGGCUCACUGGACCAUAACUGACGCUGAGGCACGAAAGCUAGGGGAGCAAACGGGAUUAGAUACCCUGGUAGUCCUAGCCCUAAACGAUGAUUGCUUGGUGUGGCA
rnacentral:rRNA from 1 species